AUGAAUGGCCGCGGUACCCUGACCGUGCUAAGGUAGCGUAAUCAGUUGGCUUUUAAAUGGAGUCAGGAAUGAAUGGAAUAACCGGGUUUAGCUGUCUCCUUCCUAAUUAAUUGAAUUUACUGUUCAAGUGAAAAAGCUUGGAUAAAGAAAAGGGACGAGAAGACCCUUAGAAUUUUUUUUAGUGGGGAAUUUUUUCCUAAUGAUUUUGUUGGGGCGACAUGGAAAUAUUUAAAAACUUUCCUUUUAUACUUGCCGAUUUUGUUAAGUUGGAAUAAAUUACCUGAGGGAUAACAGCAUAAUUCUACAGAUGAGUUUGUG
rnacentral:rRNA from 1 species